rnacentral:rRNA from 1 species
GCCUUACCAUGCAGUCGACGGUAACGCGGGGCAACCUGGCGACGAGUGGCGAACGGGUGAGUAAUACAUCGGAACGUGCCCAGUAGUGGGGGAUAGCCCGGCGAAAGCCGGAUUAAUACCGCAUACGACCUACGGGUGAAAGCGGGGGAUCGCAAGACCUCGCGCUAUUGGAGCGGCCGAUGGCAGAUUAGGUUGUUGGUGGGGUAAAAGCCUACCAAGCCUACGAUCUGUAGCUGGUCUGAGAGGACGACCAGCCACACUGGGACCGAGACACGGCCCAGACUCCUACGGGAGGCAGCAGUGGGGAAUUUUGGACAAUGGGCGCAAGCCUGAUCCAGCAAUGCCGCGCGCGGGAAGAAGGCCUUCGGGUUGUAAACCGCUUUUGUCAGGGAAGAAAUCUCCUGGGCUAAUACCUCGGGGGGAUGACGGUACCUGAAGAAUAAGCACCGGCUAACUACGUGCCAGCAGCCGCGGUAAUACGUAGGGUGCAAGCGUUAAUCGGAAUUACUGGGCGUAAAGCGUGCGCAGGCGGUGAUGCAAGACAGAUGUGAAAUCCCCGGGCUCAACCUGGGAACUGCAUUUGUGACUGCAUCGCUAGAGUGCGGCAGAGGGGGAUGGAAUUCCGCGUGUAGCAGUGAAAUGCGUAGAUAUGCGGAGGAACACCGAUGGCGAAGGCAAUCCCCUGGGCCUGCACUGACGCUCAUGCACGAAAGCGUGGGGGGCAAACAGGAUUAGAUACCCUGGUAGUCCACGCCCUAAACGAUGUCAACUGGUUGUUGGGAGGGUUCCUUCUCAGUAACGUAGCUAACGCGUGAAGUUGACCGCCUGGGGAGUACGGCCGCAAGGUUGAAACUCAAAGGAAUUGACGGGACCCGCACAAGCGGUGGAUGAUGUGGUUUAUUUCGACGCACGCGAAAACCUUACCUACCCUUGAAAUGCCGGGAACUUGCCAAAAAUGGCUUG